rnacentral:rRNA from 1 species
GGGGCUCCUUGGUGAAUCAUAAUAACUUAACGAAUCGCAUGGCCUUGCGCCGGCGAUGGUUCAUUCAAAUUUCUGUCCUAUCAACUUUCGAUGGUAGGAUAGUGGCCUACCAUGGUAUCAACGGGUAACGGGGAAUUAGGGUUCGACUCCGGAGAGGGAGCCUGAGAAACGGCUACCACAUCCAAGGAAGGCAGCAGGCGCGCAAAUUACCCAAUCCCGACACGGGGAGGUAGUGACAAUAGAUACUGAUACAGGGCUCUUUUGGGUCUUGUAAUUGGAAUGAGUACAAUUUAAAUCCCUUAACGAGGAACAAUUGGAGGGCAAGUCUGGUGCCAGCAGCCGCGGUAAUUCCAGCUCCAAUAGCGUAUAUUAAAGUUGUUGCAGUUAAAAAGCUCGUAGUUGAACCUUGGGCCUGGCUGGCCGGUCCGCCUCACCGCGUGUACUGGUCCGGCCGGGCCUUUCCUUCUGGGGAACCUCAUGCCCUUCACUGGGCGUGCUGGGGAACCAGGACUUUUACUUUGAAAAAAUUAGAGUGUUCAAAGCAGGCCUUUGCUCGAAUACAUUAGCAUGGAAUAAUAGAAUAGGACGUGUGGUUCUAUUUUGUUGGUUUCUAGGACCGCCGUAAUGAUUAAUAGGGAUAGUCGGGGGCAUCAGUAUUCAAGCGUCAGAGGUGAAAUUCUUGGAUUGCUUGAAGACUAACUACUGCGAAAGCAUUUGCCAAGGAUGUUUUCAUUAAUCAGUGAACGAAAGUUAGGGGAUCGAAGACGAUCAGAUACC